UCCUUGCCAGAAGGCUGAAGGACAUUCACACCAUUGAUCUCCUGGCUUGAAGAACAGGGAACGUUGUCUGGGUAUGUGUCGGGGGGUUAAGUGUGCAGGAGCCACGUCUACAUCUAUACAUGGCUGUAUCUGAAAUUAGUUUUAUGCUAGUUUAUUUGCAGAUCAGAGCAAGGAAGAAAAGCUCUCCAGUGAAGUGGAUUUUAGCUACAUUGUUGCCGCCUAUGGAUCAAACCCUAGUCUGAAGGCCAUGACUGCUGAGUGCGACCUCUGUGAUGAGAAAUCUUACUCAUGAUGUGGGUGUGACAGGAAACCACAGCUGUUAAAACCUCUGUCCUGAGGCACUCCAGGGAACUCAACUAUGCAGAGGACAGGAAAUGACUGACCAUCUAAAUUCUACCUGAAUCACCCUGACCAGCAGAGGAUGCUUCCCAUGGACUGCGGUGGUGUGAUCAUGACUCACUGCAGCCUCGACCUCCUGCCUGGGCUCAAGUGAACCUUCCGCCUCAGCCUCCAAGUAACUGGGACUAUAGGGCACCGGGAGCUGGUGGGCCAUACCUUGACAGCAUCCUCACUGCCGGCACAGGCUCCACGUUCAAUGAGGGAGUUGCCCAUGUCGAUAACCCCGCGGAUCCGGUCAGCAUUGGCAUGCAGCUCUGCUUCGAAAGCCUGGUGCUUCUGGUGCUUGCUCUAAAAAUACCAAAAAAACUUUUUCCAAACC